UACGGGGGGGGCAAGCGUUUGUUCGGAAUUACUGGGCGUAAAGGGCUCGUAGGCGGCCAACUAAGUCAGACGUGAAAUCCCUCGGCUUAACCGGGGAACUGCGUCUGAUACUGGAUGGCUUGAGUUUGGGAGAGGGAUGCGGAAUUCCAGGUGUAGCGGUGAAAUGCGUAGAUAUCUGGAGGAACACCGGUGGCGAAGGCGGGUCUCUGGGCCUAACUGACGCUGAGGAGCGAAAGCAUGGGGAGCGAACAGG
rnacentral:rRNA from 1 species